rnacentral:rRNA from 1 species
GAUGAACGCUAGCGGCAGGCUUAAUACAUGCAAGUCGUGGGGCAGCAUGAAGUAGCAAUACUUUGAUGGCGACCGGCAAACGGGUGCGGAACACGUACACAACCUUCCUACAAGUGGGGAAUAGCACAGAGAAAUUUGGAUUAAUACCCCGUAACAUAGCGAUGUGGCAUCACAUUGCUAUUAUAGCUUCGGCGCUUGUUGAUGGGUGUGCGUAUGAUUAGAUAGUUGGCGAGGUAACGGCUCACCAAGUCUACGAUCAUUAGCUGAUGUGAGAGCAUGAUCAGCCACACGGGCACUGAGACACGGGCCCGACUCCUACGGGAGGCAGCAGUAAGGAAUAUUGGUCAAUGGACGAAAGUCUGAACCAGCCAUGCCGCGUGAAGGAUUAAGGUCCUCUGGAUUGUAAACUUCUUUUAUAUGGGGCGAAAAAAGGUCUUUCUAGAUCACUUGACGGUACCAUAUGAAUAAGCACCGGCUAACUCCGUGCCAGCCGCCGCCGUAAGAC